AUGAUUUAGAUAAAGUUUUAUAUGAAUUUGUUGUAUAUCACAGGAAAUUUAAGAUGAAUAUCAAUUCUGAAAGGAUACGAUAUUCAUAAACUUAUUUUGAAAUUAAAAAGUAUAUAAAAUCAACUUUUUUCUGUUAUUGUAAACAUAGUCGGUUUUAUUUCUAAGUUAAUAAAACGAUUAAUUUUUGAAUUGAAAAGUGGGGACAACUUCGCACCGGUGGGACAGCUUCAGAUCAUGAAGGCAGAAUAUAGCCUGAAGUUGCGGAACAGUUUCCAAGUGUUCACAGAAGAUGAAAGCGACUUACAGAAGACAUACAAGAGAAUACUGACAAUCAUUAGAUACAGUGCAGAGGAAAUUGUAGGAAAUGAACUAAGAAAUAUCGUCAAGAAUGCAUCUAUCAAAAUACAUGAAUUUAUUCAUGGUGUAAAUAUAAUGGUGUGCUGAUUUGUGGUCUUAU
rnacentral:lncRNA from 1 species